rnacentral:rRNA from 1 species
GAGCGGCGGACGGCUGAGUAACACGUUGGUACUUGCCUCAAACUCAGGGAUAAGCACGGGAAACUGUGUCUAAUACCGGAUAGUCCCGAAAGGGUAAAGCGUUUAGCGGUUUGAGAGAGGCCUGCGGUCCAUUAGUUUGUUGGUGAGGUAAUGGCUCACCAAGACUAUGAUGGAUACCUGGUGUGAGAGCACGACCAGGCAGAGUGGGACUGAGACACGGCCCACACUCC